rnacentral:rRNA from 1 species
AUAACGAAUAAGUCGUAUAAAAUUCUAGAUAGAAAAUUGAUAAUGACUACUAUCUAUCUAUUAGUCUUGACCAAAUUACGUGCCAGCAGUCGCGGCAACACGCAGAAGACAAGUGUUAUUCAUCUUUAAUCGGUUUAAAGGGUACCUAGACGGGAAAUCAAGCCUUAGUAGGGACUAAUUUUCUAGAGUUUUAUGGGAGAAAGUCGAAUAUCUGGAGGAGAGAUAAAAUAUUGUGAUACCAGAGAGACGGGUAACGGCGUAGGCAACUUUCUAUGUAAAAACUGACGUUGAGGGACGAAGCCCUGGGUAACGAGAAGGAUUUGAUACCCCAGUAGUCCAGGGAGACAAUGAUGAGUGCCAUAGGCUAGAUAAAUUAGUCUAUAAAUGAAAGUGCAAGCAUUCCACCUCAAGACUAAAGCGGCAACGCCCAAAUUGAAAUCAUUAGACCGUUUCUGAAACCAGUAGUGAAGUAUGUUAUUUAAUUCGAUGAUCCGCGAAUAACCUUACCACGUUUUGAAUACAUAGGGGAAAAGCAUUGCAGGGUGCUUUUCUUACCAUGAUUUAUACAAGCGCUGCACGGCUGUCUUUAGUUAAUGUCGUGAGACUUUGGUUAACUCCUUUAAUUAACGAAAACCCUUGUUUUAUUUGUUUAUAUAAAACAGUUCUCCGCUAUAUUGGAUAAGAUAAUAGGGAUUAAGGCAAGUCAUCAUGGCCUUAAUAACGUGGGCUAUAGACGUGCCACAUAUGCCUUUACAAAAGGAUGCGAUAUUGUGAAAUGGAGCUAAUCCCCAAAAAAGGACAUAACUAAUCGUGG